UACGGAGGUGGCUAGCGUUGUUCGGAAUUACUGGGCGUAAAGCGCGCGUAGGCGGACCUGCAAGUCGGGGGUGAAAGCCCGAGGCUUAACCUCGGAACUGCCUUCGAUACUGCGGGUCUCGAGUCCGGGAGAGGUGAGUGGAAUUCCUAGUGUAGAGGUGAAAUUCGUAGAUAUUAGGAAGAACACAAGUGGCGAAGGCGGCUCACUGGCCCGGUACUGACGCUGAGGCGCGAAAGCGUGGGGAGCAAACAGG
rnacentral:rRNA from 1 species